rnacentral:rRNA from 1 species
GAUAAACGCUGGCGGCGCACAUAAGACAUGCAAGUCGAACGGACUUAACCAUUAGUUUACUAUUGGAGCGGUUAGUGGCGGACUGGUGAGUAACACGUAAGCAACCUGCCUAUCAGAGGGGAACAACAGUUAGAAAUGACUGCUAAUACCGCAUAUGCCUAAGUACCACAUGGUACAAUAGGGAAAGGAGCAAUCCGCUGAUAGAUGGGCUUGCGUCUGAUUAGAUAGUUGGUGGGGUAACGGCCUACCAAGUCGACGAUCAGUAGCCGGACUGAGAGGUUGAACGGCCACAUUGGGACUGAGAUACGGCCCAGACUCCUACGGGAGGCAGCAGUGGGAAUAUUGGGCAAUGGGGGAAACCCUGACCCAGCAACGCCGCGUGAAGGAAGAAGGCCUCGGUGUAACUCUUUACCUAGGGACGAAGGACGUAGACGGUACCGUGGAGAAAAAGACGAACGGCGUAACUACGUAG